rnacentral:lncRNA from 1 species
CGCAGAGGAGCAGCGACGACAUCCAGUGACGUCGGAGGAGGACACCAUCACCGCUUCAUUGGCGACAUCUUGUUUUCUUCUCCAAUUACAGACUUUUUUUUACUUGUUCUAGUUUAAUUGAAUUGGUUUUAGGUUGGAGCAGUGAAGACGAGGACACCAGCCAUGGAGCGGCAGAUCAGGUUCACCAACCCCGAGGACGACUUCCACUACUACAAGGAGGAAAUUGGGUCCGGUGGCAUGUCCCUUAUCUUCAAGGCCAGAAACCUGCAGACAGACCAGAUCGUGGCCAGGAAGAUGACCAGGCCUGAACUCGUUGAAAGAAUGUGGGAUGAAGUAGAAAUGUUACGAAAUUUCAACCAUCCAAACAUUCCAGCUUAUGUGGCCAGCUUCUACUGGGACGCUUUUGUCCAGUUGUUCAUCGAGUUGUGUGAAGGGGGCU